rnacentral:rRNA from 1 species
CCGUGAGGAAUACCGGCGAGAAAUCGCCGACAAGACCGCAUAAGCUUCUGGUUUGGAAGAGCGAGAAGCAAAGCUGGGACUCGCAAGAGUACUAGUGCUCGGGGAUGGGCCUGCGGCCGAUUAGCUAGUUGGAGAGGUAAGAGCUCACCAAGGCGACGAUCGGUAGCUGGUCUGAGAGGACGAUCAGCCACACUGGGAUUGAGAACGGCCCAG